rnacentral:lncRNA from 1 species
UAAAAUUCAAUUAUUGAGCUAUUUUUAAAUUAUUAUUACAUUUUUUUAAUCUCAGUCGUUGAUUAAAAUUAAUCCAACGACAGAGAUCAAUCCACUUUUUUCUUCCCUUCUUAAACAAAACAACCAACCCUAAUCUCAAAUUUUUCACCCUCAAAACAAAACAGUCGCCUCCACAGCCCUCUCUCUUCUCUCACCAGAAAAUAAUAACCACAUCAACCCACCCCGCCGCCUCUCACUAGUCGGCGGAACCCCACUUUCCUUCUGUUCUUUCUCUUUCUCCGGCGACUUCACCAAAUGAACGUCGUUUAACAAACAAAACCCCACAAUAGACACUGCUUCCACCACCGGCGAAUCCAAGCCAGCUGCACCUCUGCCAAAACAAUACCGGAGCUCCGUAGGCAAACCCAACAAAAAAACCACUAUCGUCGCUGCUCCAUCAACGAAAACAUCUUGCUAUCUGGCACGUGAGAUUUUUAGUACUUGAAUUUCCAAAAAACCACCGUCGUAAGGUAAUAAAGAUGUGACUUUUUCUUUGCAAACUGUUUUGCCUACAAGAUGAACUUGAAUAUCAGUAGUUGACCAUUCUAAUUAGGAGUUAGGACAACAAUUUAAACAUUUUUUAAAAUUAUUAAUUUUUUACUGAAUAUGGUUUGUAAGGAUGGAGACUGAAAGUUGUGUAUUUGGCUAAAUAAAUUAUGUAUGAUGAAAGAUCUGUUUAAAAUCCCUAUUUUUCUCCAUUUGGGAGUCCAGUAAGCAUGGUAUAUUGAUUAUAAGAAUAAGAAAAGGAAUUCAGCUAAAGUAUAUUUAACAAGAUCAAGUGAUUUUUUUUACUCUAUUCUAGAGUUUUAGCUCUUCUAUGUUGACACAGACCUUCUAUAUCUCUUCUCAUUUGUAACAUGAUUAUUAAUUGUUUUCCAUUCUAAUUUAUGUGGCAUAGUUUAAAUUGAUACAAGUUUAAGUUAAAAUUAAAGAUGUUUCAAGCUUUUUUAAUAGAGAUAAUUAAGAGGCAGAACAUACAACUAAAAAGUACUGUAUUCAAGAAUUUGUAUUUAAGUUAAUAAUGUGGUUGAUUAGUAGGACUAACAAUUGCAUUAUUAUUCAUUACCGUCAAGUUUAUUUGUAUUUAAGCUAGUAAUUCGGUUGACUAGUAGGACUAACAAUUGCAUUAUUAUUCAUUACCGUCAAGUUUAUUUGUAUUUAAGCUAGUAAUGCGGUUGACUAGUAGGACUAACAAGUGCUUUAUUGUUCAUUGCUGUUAAGUUAAUUUGUAUUUAAGUUAGUAAUAUGGUUAACUGGUAGGACUAUGAAGUGCAUUAUUUUUCAUUACUGUCAAGUUAUAUUAAGUACUCCGUUUCAAUUUGUUUGUCUGAUUUAAUUUUGAACGGAGUUUAACAAAGUGAAGAACAUUUUAAAAUCUUAUGAUCUUAAAUUAAAACUGUAUAUAAUGAUCAAGUGUAGUAUUUUGAAAUGUGUACUACUGACUUCAAAAUGAUCAAGUGACGUCACUUGAGAAGUGGAUUAGUGACUUGAAAAAUAGUUAAGUGUAGCGACUUGAAAUGUGAAUUAGUUACUUGAAAAUGGCCAAGUGUAGUCACUUGAAAUGUGUACUAGUGAGUUGAAAAUGGUUAAUUAUAGUGACUUGAAAAUGUUUAAGUAUAGUGACUUGAAAUGUCAAUUAGCUAUUUGAAAAUGGUUUGAGUGUAGUGACUUGAAAUGUGUACUAGUGACUUGAAAAUGAUCAAGUGUAGUUACUUGAAAUUGUGAAUUUAUGACUUGAAAAUAAUUAAGUGUAGUUAUUUAAAAUUGUGAACUUGUGACUUGAAAAUGGUUAAGUUUAGUCAAUUGAAAUGUGUACUAAUAACUUGAAAAUAAUAAAGUAUCGUUACUUGAAAAUUGUUAAGAAUAGUAACUUCAAAUGUGAAUUAGUUACUUGAAAAUGAUUAAGUGUAGUGACUUGAAAUGUGAACUAGUCACUUGAAAAUGGUCAAGUGUAGUCACUUGAAAUGUGUACUAGUGAAUUGAAAAUGGUUUAAGUGUAGUACUUGAAAUGUUUACUAGUGACUUUAAAAUGGUCUAGCCAUUUGAAAUUUUGAACGUGUGACUUUAAAAUGAUUAAGUGUAAUUACUUGAAAUGUAUACUUAUGACUUUAAAAUGAGUAAGUGUAGUGACUUGAAAUGUUUACUUGUGACUUUAAAAUGGUUAAGUGUAGUCACUUGGAUGUGAACUAAGUUACUUGAAAUUGUGAACUUGUGACUUGAAAUAAUUAAAUGUAGUGUCUUGAAAUGUAUACUAGUUACUUGAAAAUAAUUAAGUGUAGUGACUUGAAAUGUAUACUAGUGACUUUAAAAUGAUUAAGUGUAGUGACUUGAAAUGUGUACCAGUGACUUGAAAAUAGUUAAGUGUAGUUACUUGAAAAUGGUUUAAUAUAGUUACUUGAAAUGUGUACUAGUGACUUAAAAAUGGUUAAGUGUAGUUACUUGAAAUGUGAAUUAGUUACUUGAAAGUGGUUAAGUAUAGUGACUUGAAAUGAAUGAUUUAGUGACUUGAAGAUAGUUAAAUAUAGUUAUUUAAAAUGUGAAGUACUUACUUGAAAAUGGUUAAGUACAUUGACUUGAAAUGUGAGUUAAUUAUUUGAAAAUAGUUAAGUAUAGUGAUUUGAAACGUAUACUAGUGACUUGAAAAUGAUUAAGUGUAGCGACUUGCAAUGUGAAUUAGUUAUUUGAAAAUCGUUAAGUGUAGUGACUUGAAAUGUGUGCUAGUGAGUUGAUAAUGGUUAAGUGUAGUUACUUGAAAUGUGAAUUUGUGUUUUGAAUUUACUAAAGUGUGGUAACGUGAGAACUGAUUUAAUAACUUGAAAAUAUUUAAGUUUAGGUACUUGAAAGGUGAACUUUUAUUUUGAAUUUACUCAAGUGUGGUCACUUGAGAAGUGAAUUAGUUACUUGAAAAUCCAAUUGUUGGGGGGGGUGGGGGUGGGGUGGAUAAGUGCGGAUAACUUGGGUAAAAAAUAGAUCUAUUAUAGCUCUAAUGGAUCUAUUUUUAUUUGUGCGUGGAUAUUUCUUAACUUCUCUAAACAUUUUUUAUUUUUAGUGUAUUUAUUUUAAUUUUAUUAAUGUUCAUAUCUUGGGGGUGAUUAGAUGGUAUUUGAUUAAAUGCUUUACUGUAAUAUUCUUUAGUUUUUUUCACUUAGUCUUUGUAAUUCUUGUAUAUUAUUUUGGAGGUAUUCAAAAUAUUCUAUAUCUUUUAUUCUAAAAUAUUCAAUUAAAGUAUUUCUGUUAAUCUCAUUUCUUCCAUAUCUUGUCCCUAAUAGUUUAAAUACUCAUAGUAUAUCAUUUUAUCCUAAAGUAGUUGUGAUACUGCAAAUUUCUUUGGAAUAAUUUAUUCUAAUUGUACUAUAUCUGAUAUUAAGUUCUAGGUUAUCUAUUUUGCUAAUUAUCCUGUCUUUUUCGUCUAUGAAUAAUUAUAUAUCUAAAUCAUAUUCUAAACUGUCUUUUAAUUCUAAUUGUUUUAUGGUUUUAUUUAUCCAAAUUAAUCUUUCUUUUAAUUAUUCUCUUCCUUUUCUAAGCUGGUUUCUAUAAUUAAUUUCUUCGUAUAGCCAACUUUGUUCUUUGAAUAUAUUCUAGCAUUUCUUAAUCUGUAUAAUAUCCAUCUGAAUAAUUAUCUAGGUAGUAAUAGUGAUUGUCAUCACUUAAGUAUAUUUCUCCUAACUCAUCUUCUAUCUGAUUUAUAUCUAACUCUUCAUCUUCAAUGUUAAAUAUUUUUUCCCAUAUUAUUUUUUUUACGUUUAUAAUUUCUAUAUCUCUAAGUAUGUAUAAAACUAGUGCUUCAAAAUUAUCUAUCAUUUAGGUGGGUUAAUUAAAUUCUUUUUCAUAAUUUUCUUUAGUUGUUUGUUUUAAUCUUAUUAAUUCCUCUAUAUUUUCAUUAAGAUAUUCUGGUUUAGUAUGUAGGUAUAUGUAAGAGUAGUUAGGUAGGUGUGAUAUAUAAUUUAUUCUAGUCAUAAAACAUUUAUCAAAUAUUUUUUUCAAUAUUAUUUUUCUUAUAUCUACAAUUUCUAUAUCCUUAAGUACAUACAAAACAAGUAUUUUAAAUUUAUCUAACAUUUCGUCAGAUAAAUAAGUAUUCAUUUUUCAUAUGAUGCCUUUUCAAAAUAUUCCCUUCAAUCAUACACAUAACAAAAUAUGAUCAUUUUAGAUUACUAUAUACUAGAUUAUUCUUAAAUAACAUGUUCUCUGGUCACUAUUAGCAUGGUAAUCUGGAUACUAUUCCCUUAAACAGUGCCUCUACUCUGGCUACUCCCCUAUCACGGCUUUCUUGCCUCAUCGGUUUCACCCUUAGGAUGACAUAGUUCUUAGAGAUUUUUUUCCUUUUCUGCUUUGCUAAUAAACUUCUUAACAUGCUAUUUUUUUAAUAAUUCUACUAUAAAGUAACUAACAAGAACUUAUUUUAUGAAAUCAUGAUUGUCAGGAAUUUAUGAAUUUAGCUAUUCAUAAUCGUAAAUAAAUAUACCUGUUCUGGUAGGUUUGAUAAUUCUGAGCUUUGUUCAUCUAUAGCUUUUCCUUAGAAAUAUAUCUGUUUUUUAUUAAAUAUUCAAAAGUUUUUUGUGUACAAGAGAGAUAGCUUGCUUUCAACACAUGAAAGUCUUGUCUUUAUCUUGCUGAAUGACUUACAUAUUUAUAGGAGGAAAUAAACUAUUCCUACUUCACACGUUUUUUACAUGUAAAGUAUACUAUUCCCACUUUUUACAAAAAAAAUCUUCCAUUUUAAUAGUAGAAAAGGACUAGACUAAACUAGACUAGUAUAAUAAGACAAAACUAGGACCUAUCUUUACAAAAGAAAAAAUCUUAAGACUAAAAAAUAAAAAAUCAAUAAUGGCACUUUGGCCAAAAAGUCCAAAACUAAACAAUUUACGUAACAAAAUUUCAAAACUAUAUAUGUCACUUUAUAUAUUUUAUUAUCUUGUUUUUUGUCUUUAUUCCAUCAUUACUCCAUUGAUUUUUAUCUUCUAGCUCACAUUAUCUUUUUGGUUGAUUUUUUUUAUUCUAGCCAGACUUCCGAAAUAAUAUUAUCUUCUCCAUUACAUCUCGAACAUUGAUGGUCUGGAUAUUUGUGUCCAAUUAUCUUGCAAUAUCUUGUUAAUAAUUUGUUUGAAAUAAAUCCUUCCUAACAGCUCUUCCAGUAGAUUGUUUCUCUGGGUUAAGUAAUGUCAUUAUUCAUUGCCUAACAUCUUCCAUAUUUGUUUGUCGUAGUUCUCUUGAAUUUGAAUAAAUCAUUUGAUGAUCUCUUGAAUAAUAGCUCCAUAUUGGAUUUUCAUUGAUAUAAUUAUUUGCUAAUUCUUGAAUAAUUGUAGCUAUUCCAAUAAGUCAUUUAUUUGCGUAAAAAUUAGGUAUCUCGAUUUUGGGUAUCUCUGGCUACUGCACAAUAUCUUUCGGUAUAAUCAUAUCUUUGGUUAAUCCUACUUUUACAAUUUGUAUAACUAGUUUGAUCUCGUCGUAUAAUAUCUCUGCUGGUGCAGUAUAAAACUUUAUAUAAAAUACAUUUCCUUUGGUUACUCUUAUAUAGGUGGUGAAUACUUUAUGCAAUUCUUCUAUAGCUGUUAGUUCUUCUCUAUCUUGGGUAUAUACGGUAUUUAAUAAUCCAUAGUCAAAACAAGUUUUUAUUAAGCUUGAGUUGAUUUUGGGUAGUGCGAUUAGCUUUUUGUAACCUUGCAAUUUUUGGGUUAUAUAGUUUGUGUUUGGUUCUUGGAUAUUUGUAGCUCUGGGGUUAAGGUUUAGAAAAGUUUGUACUUUAUAGAUAUUUUCUAUAUAUCCUCGGGCUAUAUGGUUAUAAGUUUUUUUAUCUGGUUCAAACUAUCUCGAUAUUUGGUAAUUUGUGAGGGUAUGUACAAGGGGUCUUUUUGUAUUUUUGGUAUAAAUGGUUUUUCAAAUAUCUUAUUCAUGUUCAUGUUCUGAUAUCUUUGUUCACUAACUCCUUUGCUUGUACCUUCAAUUGUAGAUUGAUAAAUGUUAUGGGUUUUAUGGAGUGUCCCAGCAUCUCCUUCUAGCUCUGGAACUUUAAUAACUUCCGAUCGACAGAGUUCUGCACACUGCUGAGUUAGCUGAUUCAUAGCCUUAGACUUCUGUUUAACUUCAUUAGUCUUUAGCUUUUCUAUUUCAUUAUCCAUAUUGUCCACUUUCAUUGAAAGCGUAGUUAGGGUUUUGAGUAUCUUUUCUAAAG